AUUGAACGCUGGCGGCAGGCUUAACACAUGCAAGUCGAGCGAGCGGCGGACGGGUGAGUAAUGUCUGGGAAACUGCCUGAUGGAGGGGGAUAACUACUGGAAACGGUAGCUAAUACCGCAUACCAUCAGAUGUUCCCAGAUGGGAUUAGCUAGUAGGUGGGGUAAUGGCUCACCUGGGCGACGAUCCCUAGCGGGUCUGAGAGGAUGACAGGCCACACUGGAACUGGGACAGGGUCCAGACUCCGACGGAAGGCAGAAGUGGGGAAUAUUGCACAAGGGGCGCAAGCCUGAUGCAGACAUGCCGCGUGUGGGAAGAAGGCCUUCGGGUUGUAAAGCACUUUCAGCGAGGAGGCGUUACUCGCAGAAGAAGCACCGGCUAACUCCGUGCCAGCAGCCGCGGUAAUUC
rnacentral:rRNA from 1 species